rnacentral:rRNA from 1 species
UGGGGAAUAUUGCACAAUGGGCGCAAGCCUGAUGCAGCCAUGCCGCGUGUAUGAAGAAGGCCUUCGGGUUGUAAAGUACUUUCAGCGGGGAGGAAGGGAGUAAAGUUAAUACCUUUGCUCAUUGACGUUACCCGCAGAAGAAGCACCGGCUAACUCCGUGCCAGCAGCCGCGGUAAUACGGAGGGUGCAAGCGUUAAUCGGAAUUACUGGGCGUAAAGCGCACGCAGGCGGUUUGUUAAGUCAGAUGUGAAAUCCCCGGGCUCAACCUGGGAACUGCAUCUGAUACUGGCAAGCUUGAGUCUCGUAGAGGGGGGUAGAAUUCCAGGUGUAGCGGUGAAAUGCGUAGAGAUCUGGAGGAAUACCGGUGGCGAAGGCGGCCCCCUGGACGAAGACUGACGAUCAGGUGCGAAAGCGUGGGGAGCAAACAGG